rnacentral:tRNA from 1 species
UCCCUGAUGGCUCAGACGGUAAAGCGUCUGCCUGCAAUGCGGGAGACCCGGGUUUGAUUCCUGGGUUGGGAA